GACGAACGCUGGCGGCGUGCUUAACACAUGCAAGUCGAACGGAAAGGCCCUGCUUUUGUGGGGUGCUCGAGUGGCGAACGGGUGAGUAACACGUGAGCAACCUGCCCUUGACUUUGGGAUAACUUCAGGAAACUGGGGCUAAUACCGGAUAGGAGCUCCUGCUGCAUGGUGGGGGUUGGAAAGUUUCGGCGGUUGGGGAUGGACUCGCGGCUUAUCAGCUUGUUGGUGGGGUAGUGGCUUACCAAGGCUUUGACGGGUAGCCGGCCUGAGAGGGUGACCGGCCACAUUGGGACUGAGAUACGGCCCAGACUCCUACGGGAGGCAGCAGUGGGGAAUAUUGCACAAUGGGCGGAAGCCUGAUGCAGCAACGCCGCGUGCGGGAUGACGGCCUUCGGGUUGUAAACCGCUUUCGCCUGUGACGAAGCGUGAGUGACGGUAAUGGGUAAAGAAGCACCGGCUAACUACGUGCCAGCAGCCGCGGUGAUACGUAGGGUGCGAGCGUUGUCCGGAUUUAUUGGGCGUAAAGGGCUCGUAGGUGGUUGAUCGCGUCGGAAGUGUAAUCUUGGGGCUUAACCCUGAGCGUGCUUUCGAUACGGGUUGACUUGAGGAAGGUAGGGGAGAAUGGAAUUCCUGGUGGAGCGGUGGAAUGCGCAGAUAUCAGGAGGAACACCAGUGGCGAAGGCGGUUCUCUGGGCCUUUCCUGACGCUGAGGAGCGAAAGCGUGGGGAGCGAACAGGCUUAGAUACCCUGGUAGUCCACGCUGUAAACGGUGGGUACUAGGUGUGGGGUCCAUUCCACGGGUUCCGUGCCGUAGCUAACGCUUUAAGUACCCCGCCUGGGGAGUACGGCCGCAAGGCUAAAACUCAAAGGAAUUGACGGGGCCCCGCACAAGCGGCGGAGCAUGCGGAUUAAUUCGAUGCAACGCGUAGAACCUUACCUGGGUUUGACAUGGAUCGGGAGCGCUCAGAGAUGGGUGUGCCUCUUUUGGGGUCGGUUCACAGGUGGUGCAUGGCUGUCGUCAGCUCGUGUCGUGAGAUGUUGGGUUAAGUCCCGCAACGAGCGCAACCCUUGUUCACUGUUGCCAGCACGUUAUGGUGGGGACUCAGUGGAGACCGCCGGGGUCAACUCGGAGGAAGGUGGGGAUGACGUCAAGUCAUCAUGCCCCUUAUGUCCAGGGCUUCACGCAUGCUACAAUGGCUGGUACAGAGAGUGGCGAGCCUGUGAGGGUGAGCGAAUCUCGGAAAGCCGGUCUCAGUUCGGAUUGGGGUCUGCAACUCGACCUCAUGAAGUCGGAGUCGCUAGUAAUCGCAGAUCAGCAACGCUGCGGUGAAUACGUUCCCGGG
rnacentral:rRNA from 1 species